AGAGUUUGAUCCUGGCUCAGAACGAACGCUGGCGGUGUGCUUAAUACAUGCAAGUCGAACGAGAAAUUCCGGCUUCGGUUGGAAGAGUAAAGUGGCGAACGGGUGAGUAACACGUGGAUAAUCUGCCCUUAUGUCUGGGAUAAUCCUCCGAAAGGAGGUCUAAUACCGGAUGAUACCUUGAAUCGGCAUCGUUUCGAGGUCAAAGGUGGGGUAACCUACCGCAUAGGGAUGAAUCCGCGCUCCAUUAGCUUGUUGGUAGGGUAACGGCCUACCAAGGCUGCGAUGGAUAGCCGGCCUGAGAGGGUGAUCGGCCACACUGGGACUGAGAUACGGCCCAGACUCCUACGGGAGGCAGCAGUAGGGAAUAUUGCGCAAUGGACGAAAGUCUGACGCAGCAACACCGCGUGGGUGAUGAAGCAUCUUGGUGUGUAAAACCCUGUCAGUGGGGAAGAAACGUAUGGAGAGUAACUGCUCCAUGCCUGACGGUACCCACAGAGGAAGUCCCGGCUAACUCCGUGCCAGCAGCCGCGGUAAUACGGGGGGGACAAGCGUUGUUCGGAUUUACUGGGCGUAAAGGGCGCGUAGGCGGAUCUUCAAGUUGGAUGUGAAAACUAUUGGCUCAACUGAUAGCCUGCAUCCAAUACUGUUGAUCUUGAGUACAGGAGAGGAGAGCGGAAUUCCAGGUGUAGCGGUGAAAUGCGUAGAUAUCUGGAAGAACACCGGUAGCGAAGGCGGCUCUCUGGACUGAUACUGACGCUGAGGCGCGAAGGCUUGGGUAGCAAACAGGAUUAGAUACCCUGGUAGUCCAAGCGGUAAACGAUGGGUACUAGGUGUCGGGGGUAUCGACCCCCUCGGUGCCGCAGCUAACGCAUUAAGUACCCCGCCUGGGGAGUACGAUCGCAAGAUUGAAACUCAAAGGAAUUGACGGGGGCUCGCACAAGCGGUGGAGCAUGUGGCUUAAUUCGAAGCAACGCGAAGAACCUUAUCCUGGGUUUGACAUGUAUGGAUUAGCUAUCCGAAAGGGUAGUAACGCGGCUUGCCGUGGAACAUACACAGGUGCUGCAUGGCUGUCGUCAGCUCGUGCUGUGAAGUGUCGGGUUAAGUCCCUUAACGAGCGCAACCCCUGUCGUUAGUUGCUAGCAGGUAAUGCUGAGGACUCUAGCGAGACUGCCGGUGUUAAACCGGAGGAAGGUGGGGAUGACGUCAAGUCCGCAUGGCCUUUAUGCCCAGGGCUGCACACGUGCUACAAUGGCCGGUACAGAACGACGCAAUACCGCGAGGUGGAGCAAAUCGCUAAAGCCGGCCCCAGUUCAGAUUGCAGGCUGCAAUUCGCCUGCAUGAAGUUGGAAUCGCUAGUAAUCGGGGAUCAGCUACGCCCCGGUGAAUACGUUCCUGAGCCUUGUACACACCGCCCGUCAAGUCAUGGAAGCUGGUAGCACCCGAAGUCGCCAUAAUUCAAUGGUGCCCACGGUGAGACUGGUGACUGGGACUAAGUCGUAACAAGGUAACC
rnacentral:rRNA from 1 species